GUCCAGCUUGGGUAGCUCUGUCGGUUAGAGCAUGGUGCUGAUGAAGCCAAGGUCGCAGGUUCAAUCCCUGUACAGGACA